GGCACAGGUCCAAAGGAUUGCUAUGGCUAAAGGCUGACCAAAGACCAGAGCAAAGAAGAAGGAUGACAAAAUGCAAGAAGUGUUUGAGAGGUGUUGUGGUCCAGUGACGUCGAUUUAAAGCCACGCUGUAAUUGAUGUGCUUCAUGAUCUUGGGAAAAAUCAUUUAAAUUCCAUAUCUUCAGUAUUAUUGUCUAUCAUUGUGCCUGCUCAGAUGACCAGGGGCUCCUCCUGCAUGGCCACUAUGAAUUACACUUUCUUUCUUGCAUGCUGCCCGGCACAAGGCCCUGCGUAUGUAGAUCAGACUGUUUGGGAAGCAAAGGGGAGAAGUGAGGAUGUUACUUGUCUUGGAAAGAGCCUGCACCAGCAGAGCAGAGGCCAAGCUGUACCUGACAAAUGUGCUAUAGUCUCAGCACUGGAUCUAGGACAGGGGAAAAUGGCUGCUCCGUUUUCGAGAUCCGUCUGGGCAGCUGACUUUGCAGAUGGGAUCUACUGGUUGCAUUUCUAAGCUUGAGAGAUCAUCUUCUCUUUACCUUGAAGGUGUUGGAACCAGUGUUUAAAUUGUGAAAGAUCAUUGCUUCAAGAUGCUGGGACGGCUCUGACAACGAAGAAGGAAAGGCUCAUUUCCUUAUCUAUAAAACAACUCGAUCUUCUGGACUUCAAAGGACUGUUGGUAUCUCGAAUAAGACAAGAAACAUGAGAGUACAUUGUGAAUGACUAUACAAAUGUAAGCUCCGAAUGGAAGUUUCCUGGGAAACCUUUCCUGUGAAUGGAAUGUAUGAGGUUUGUCCCAUGACAGACAAAUAAAAAACACAAGAAACUACAACAGAAAACUUCUUCCCCUGAAAUAUUGCAGUCAGGAGCAGAUAACACCUAUCUUUUUUCAAGGACAUGUAGAGAUUCCAACCCUCUGGUGUUCAGUGACACUAAGAAUGUUAUUCCCUCAAUUUAACAGCAGAGCUUCUUUUCUUACUGAUAAAAAAAUUUAAAAAGGGUUUAAAUUACUUAAGUAAAAAGAACUAUGGUGGGGCCUUCUCAGUCAUAGAUAAGCAUCAGCUCUUGCUGAUCUGCUGUAUUGUCAGCAAAGUAAUGGCUCAGUUUGUGUAUUGUUCUCCUUGUGCCAAACAGAAGGGAGAGUAAACCUUAUCCACAGGCUCCUGUUACC
rnacentral:lncRNA from 1 species